UCUUGCUAUAACAAAGUUUAUUACUUCAUGAAUAUUAUGUGAUCCUGAAAAAUGGUGUUUGUGAAGUUUGCUAAUGUUAGUUAUAAAACGUCAUUUUUUAAAUCUACAAAAUGGAGAUAGUAAAGAUCCAAUUUAUAAACUGUAAUAAGCUGACAACUAAGUAAUUCCAGUUGUCUUCCAUGGCACAUGGUAGGAUGGCACUUCUCAGUUCCCUUGAUGUUAGUUGGGAUUUGUGUCUUGUUUUGGUCACAAGUAGAAAAGAUGUAUGACACUUCAAUUUGAAAGCUUCAAGAGCCUGUGUGUAAAUUGUGACACUCAGUAUUAUGUCUUCUCAGAAUUUGAAUGUCAGAAUUAUGUGAACAGAGCCCUCAAUCAGUGGUGAACAUGUAAAAGGAGCAAGAAAUCAACCUUUGUUGGUUCAAAUCACUAAAAUUUGGAGGUUGCUAAACAAUGCUGUAUAACCUAGUCAAAGUAUGAGACAGUGCAUAAAGCUCUAAAAUUUCAUCCGGAAGAUAUAAUUUUAGUUUUUUAAGAUCAUCAAUGAACAUUUAUUAAUGAAGAUGUAGCUCAUAAAAAUCGAGGCAAAAUUAUUAAAUAGCAGUUGGGCCCAACCCUGUGCUAGGCCUAAUAAAGAAGUGUUAAAGUGUUUCUGCUCUUAUGCCUUCUGCUCUUAUGCCUUCUUACUAUUUCCACUUCUCAUUGGCUUUUGUGUGUUACUAGUCACAUUAAGAUUGGCAUAUAAGGAAGCUUGGGAUCACAAAAGGGGAUCUGAAGAAUCAGCUGCUGAAGGAUAAGGAAGAAAUCCAAACUCUUCUCUCAUGGGAGCAAAAUCCUUCCACUGCUGUGGCAGAGGUAUGUGACUUCUUGGGAGAAAGAGAUCACAUGCACCCGUACAGAACAUCUAAGAUUAAAUAAAUAUUCUAGCUCAAUUUAUCAAGAAUAAAAAUGUUUCUGAAAAAAAAAAAAAAAAAAACCCGUUCCUGAACUACAGUGGCACACAGGAAGAGAAGACAUUUGGCAUGUGUUAAUGUGGUUCCCAUGAUCUUCAGGGAUCCAAAUGGAACCUGGAGCUACCAUUGAUGACACAUGGAUGAUAAGUAUUUGCCAGAUCUGGAAAAUUCAAUUCUUGCCAUAUUCAUGGAUUACUAAGAGAGUAUAGCUGCCAGAUAUCUUACACAUAAAUGUGCUUGUUUUCUUCUCUUUGCAGCAACUUUUUACUUUUAGGAGGCAUUAAUGAUCUUGCCUAAAUCAGCUAUUACAUCGAAGAUUUUAAAUGGUGAUUUGCAGCUUGUAGUUUAGGCCUUUUUAUUUCCUCUCAUUUUAUUUUUGUUCCAAGAGAGAAAAAAAUACAUAAACACGAGUCAUCAGCCCCCUGGUUUAGCCUGGUAUCAGACCAGUUUAGAAGGCCUUAGAAGAGGGAAUGAAGAGAUAUUUGAAUUGAAAGAUAAAAAAAGAAAUAGUGAAAAAAGGUCAUAGUCACUUGCUUAGUUCUUGGGCCUAAGCCAAUUUUCAAAUCCAUUUGUACUGAUGGAAGAGGUAGCCAGGUCUCUAGAAGGAAGGGUCCUGCAACAUGUAUAUCCUAUAAUGAUUCCCCAGUUAAAGAAAAAAAUGAAUUAAAAAAUCAAAACCUUUCCCAUUGUAUAUUUUUGAGAUUCCAACAGGCAAGAGUUUUUUACACUUACUGUUCUCCUUAACAUUUAGUUGGGAAUUGACUGUCUUAAACCUCAACAGACAUACAUUUUACUUACUACAUUUCCUAUCCAGACCUCUGAGUCUCUAUAUGAAUUUCCUCUUACUUGACCUCUCAAGCUCUUUACAGUUCUCGUCUGUGAUUAGCACAGUACAGAUGCACUUGCUCCUCAUUCCUCCUUAUUCCUCAUAUCCGACUUUCCUCAGCACUUCAAGCAUGAUCGUCAUGUAAUUUGUUUCUUCUUGUCUUUCAUUUCUUGGCUCAGUGUACUCUCCACAGAGACUCCUCCCUGAGUAUUUAAUGUUAGGUAGCCAGUACCUGUUCUAUAUGAUAGGAUGCUCCCUAAAGUCCAUUGUAGUACUGGUGAUAUGUGACAAUCAUGUUUGUCUUUUCUGUCUUUCCCCAGUAGAAUGGAAAAUCCAGGAAAAUAAGUAUCUUGGCUACUUGUUCCUUACUAUCUCCUGCCACUUAACAAUAGAAUUGAAAACAAGAUUCUUGAGUAAAAGACCUCAGUUUAUGUACUUGUUAAACCUUUAUCUUUCUUUUUAUUAGUAUUAGGUAUAAAAUAAGGAUUUAAAAUUGCUUUGGGACACCUGGGUGGCUCAGUGGUUGAGGGUCUGCCUUCAGCCCAGGGUGUG